CUCCCGUGGCUUGCCACCCAGGCAUGCACUUGGUGUGCUGGUGCCUGGAGCAGCCCCCGCCCACGUAACUAGUUUGUGGUGGUGGAGCAAUGGUCAAUUUGAACAAUGUUUUUUCAGUUCAAACGGGCCUCUAACAAUCCACACCCCAGAGUGAAAAAUACUAGUAUUAACCAUGAGAAUUCCUGUGCAGGUGAAGUUGUCAUUUUACUGAGUCAUCCAACUUGCAAAAUUUAGGUGAAACCUAAUUAGUCAAAGAGAGAGAACAUUGAUUUCUGCAUACUUGAUAGGAUAGAUUCAUGAUUAAAUGUUCGUUGGUAUAAGGGAGUGCACAUGUAAUUUAGUUGAAGUGGAUUGAAAAUUAUGGUGAUGUAGGCUAGAAGUAAUAUUUAUAAAGCCUGGUGUUGUGGUAGAAGGUGCACUGGUUUUAAAAUUGAUACACUUGGAUGAGUCCCAGUCCUGUGAACAACCUAUGAAAGGGGAAAGUUCCAACAUCCAUGCACAUCCAUUAGAUAACUUUUUAAUAUAUUUUAGCUAUCCGGUUGGAUUUAGCACUGGGUCGUGUGUUCGAUUGUCGUGUAGGGUGAAUGACACCAGUGAGUUGUUGCCUUUAUUCUCCUUUAUAACUAAAUAACAAUACCCUUCCAUUACGUAGGAGUAAAUGCUGGAUAAUCCAGUCAUACAUCCUCAGCGACUACCCAAUAUGCAGGAGUGAGAGGGAUUUGAGUUGCUGACAGAUCUUGUUUUCCCCAUUUAAAUCCAAAAGUGUGUAUUUUAAAUGGUGUCUUAGGCAGUGCUUCUGCCCUAAUUUCCUCCUGGAAAGGGUUUUGUAGGGGCUUUAGGUGGUGCCCUUGGCAUCAUUUGGAUUCUAUCUCCUUUGUUUUCCUUCUCGUAAUUCUUGUCAUACGCCUCAUCAUAUUCCUCAUUUUCAAAGUCCUCUUGUGUAUAUACCUCUUUCUGAAUCCUUGUCCUGGUCAUACUCAGAAACAGGAAUCUUCCAUUUGUAGAGUAGACUCUCAUUCACUUUACAAAACCAAUGCUCGUUUUCUUGAACUAUUAGACUUUGGCAAAUCCAUAGGCAUAACCAUGCCAUAACUAUAGACAUCAGAUAUUUUCCAAGAGUGUUCAUGCUUUCUUCAGUACCCUAUAAAAGAAAACAUGAAAAUAUCCAUUUUACCUAAGGUGGUUUAUGAUUAUUUUUCCUCUCUUUUUCCUUUACAGUGUUGUCUGGGCAGAUGUUUCACUUCCACUGUGCGCUGUGAAACCAUUUGGUGACUCGUUUCUUCCGAGACUUUAUUCCAGCUGGAAGCUGCAAUUCUUCUGGAGCCUUGACAUCACAGAUGUGGUGUCUUGCAGGAAUUAGAAUACCUGCUUCUCCAUGUUCGGCUUGAAUCAACAUCUUAUCAGAAUAUCCAGGACACAACCCCAAAGAUCAGAGCUGCCAGACCUCAACACUCUGCUAAUGACACCAUGCAGAAACUGGAGUCCCCCAGAUGGACCUGAUCCUGACUGACCAUCAAGAAAAGUUCAUCUGGCUUAUUGAGAGUGGUGAGCACUGUAUGUGUAGCAUGUGCAGUCUGUUUUUGGUAAUUGUUAAUAAAUAGAGGUUAUGUAGUAUAUUACUGUGUAAGGCUCUCGCACUGGUAAAAGGUCCUGCAAAUCUGCAGUAGUAGUAUACGCCUAGAGCCCUACGAAUUGGGAAAAGGUGGGGGUACCUAAAUUUACCGGGUUAUGCCUGGAGCUCGAGGGCCUGGAAAAAGAGGGGUGCCCUAAUGUGUGCAGGUAACAGUCUCCACCAAUGAUGUUGCAGGCAGCAAAUGUUUCUGGACAAGCAUCUCAUUCCUCGCUUGGUCAACUGGCCUGUCACACAGUGCAUUGUUCACUGCAGUUUUGCUGGAACAGCCUACGAUUUAAUUGAUUUAAUUCUCAAUCAAUGUUUUAUGUUAUACCAGCCAGAAUAUAUCCUUGAUUACCCAUGCAGUUACAUUAACAAGGAAUUUUAUUUCUAGAUGUUUGCUAUAUUGGUUUUUAUUUUCUAAAUUGUCCUUUAGUUUCUUCAGUGCAGUGUAAAGGAGAAAGCUGUGUCCUUAAAAUCUUGUGAUGUAGUCAGCCUUAUGAAGGAACACUAUGUUUGAAGAGGGAAAGCAAGAAAGUAUCCAAUCCUGUGAUCCUGCAGAUACCCUUAAAUGGAUGCUGGGAUCCAGGCCUAACUGAUCAGUACUACCAAAGAGAUGGAUCUAGAUGGAUGUGAAAAAGAGAGGGAAGAGGAGGAACAAGUCUUGUAUUUAGAAAUGUAAGGUUUUCUUUUAUGGCUGCUUAAUAUUAUUUAUAGAAUGCUUUUAAGUGUACGCUUUGAUUUACAUGCAAUAAACCUAUGGUCCCUCCCACUCUGAUUCAGAAAAAUAUAAUGGGUGAAAUCCUGGCCCCUUUUUAAGUCUUUGGAAGUUCUCUCAUUGACCUCACUUGGACCAGGAUUUCACUCAAUAAAUGGAAUACUCUACCAAGGGUCCUCAAACUUCAACGCACUGCAAUCUCUUCUGACAACAAAAAUUACUACAGGACCCCAGGAGCAGGGGCCAAGCCUGAGCCCCACCACUCCAGACAGGGGGACCGAAGCCCAGCAAGUCUAACACCAGCCCUGGCAUCGCAUUAAAACGGGGUUACGACCCACUUUGGAGUCCCAACCCAUAGUUUGAGAACUGCUGCAGAAAGAUUUCAUGAACAGGGAGGGAGAUUAACAUAGGAAGAUUAUAUAAAAGCAGUAAUUUUGGAGAAAGAUUUAGAGGAUAA